ACAGGUGGUAGUAAAAUAAUGCCCAUACCCCCCUUCUAAGCUUCUGAACAGGGCUUGAAAACCAGAAGCAAUCACUUCGGACAAUUUCAACCCUGCAAAACUAAGACUUACAGAAUCUCUUAUUUUCCCUCUGAAAUUGAGCACUUUAUAUGUUUUGCUUUGUAAAUUCUGACUGGUUUCAGAACUGGUUCAGAUAGCUUUAAUUUCUGUUUAAAUAAUGCAUAAACUUGUUAUUUAAAAGUUGUGAAUGGUUUAGUUCGUAAAUUUCUUCUAAACAAAUAUCUGAAAUGAUCAUUCAAUCACUGUAUACUGCUAGAUGUCUCACAAUUCAGCACUCCAAUAACACUUGAUUUAUACAGAGCUCUUCUGUGUUCUAUAGGUAACAGUGCAUGAGGAGAUGCAUUAAGGGAAAUGGAAGGCUCCUCUUCCUCAUCUCUAACAUCUUUGGCUGCAGACACCACAAGAUGAAAUUCUGAGUGAUAGACAUCAUUUCUAAGAUCACAAUUUCACUUGGAGCAAAGUUGGAGGAGGAGAUGGAGGGAGAUUAAAUAACCCAGCAAAAAGAUGGAGAAUUGGAAUAGAGUCACUACUGGGCAAUGUUGUCAUCUAAUGGAAAAUGGAACAUCCAGCUAAAGUUAAAAUGAAGAUACUUGAACUGAAGAUUCUUCUACAAGACUGAACACUCAAAAUAGGUAUGUUGGUUUUGUCAUUACUGCAGUCCCCCUGGUAGUUUGUUCCAGUAAUGCUCCUGGAAUGAGCAGGAGAGAACAGAGGAACACCCUAGUUUGAUCCACUCUGAAGACCCAAAAAUCAUCUCUGCAGUUUUCUCAGGGGUGUCUGCGC